CUAUACUUUCAUCUUUGAUAUAUUGCUGUCUUUGCUGUUAGGCUGCUGCAAUUCCUGUUGUUUUGGUUGAGAAUAGUGGGAGAUGCAACAAGAAUGAAAGUGACGAAAAGAUACUUCCAAGUGGAACUGCAUGGAUACCCAAUUUAGUCCAAACUAUUACAGAUGUUGUUUUAAGUGGAAGCAAGGGUAUUCUGGUUGACCAAAAAUUGAUUGAAGGUCCAAACCCCAACAAUAGGGGCAAAGUGCUAAUUCCUUUUAUAUUAGCAUUCCAAUAUUUCUUUGUUGUGAAAAGGAUCCAGAAGUGGAUCAAGUAUGAUAUUGCAAAUGAGAGCAGCCCUUCAUGGGCAUAAGCAAUUAAGGGGGCGGACCUCGUUUGUCUAGUUGGCAUUUUCUUGCCAUCAGCUUACCAGUUUAUACUUUUUGGGUAAAGUAGUAGUUGUUAGUAGCCAGAGACACAAGUGAUAUGCGGCAGUAGGAUUUCAACUUUUGUCCGCUGAGCGUGGCGUUGUGCCUUGGAGAAUAUGGUUGGAUGCUUGAUUAGCAAAUGAGUUAUGUCAUUCUUGUUCUUUGUGCAUCUGCAGAUUGCACUUCUAUUUUUCUUUCUUCGCCUAUUGCAUUAGGUGAAUGUAGAUGAAGGUUGUCCUCUCUGUAUUGUUCUUCUAUUGGAACCUUUUGCAAAUCUCUA